rnacentral:rRNA from 1 species
UGGGGAAUAUUGGACAAUGGGCGAAAGCCUGAUCCGGCCAUGCCGCGUGUGUGAAGAAGGUCUUCGGAUUGUAAAGCACUUUAAGUUGGGAGGAAGGGCAGUAAAUUAAUACUUUGCUGUUUUGACGUUACCGACAGAAUAAGCACCGGCUAACUCUGUGCCAGCAGCCGCGGUAAUACAGAGGGUGCAAGCGUUAAUCGGAAUUACUGGGCGUAAAGCGCGCGUAGGUGGUUCGUUAAGUUGGAUGUGAAAUCCCCGGGCUCAACCUGGGAACUGCAUUCAAAACUGACGAGCUAGAGUAUGGUAGAGGGUGGUGGAAUUUCCUGUGUAGCGGUGAAAUGCGUAGAUAUAGGAAGGAACACCAGUGGCGAAGGCGACCACCUGGACUGAUACUGACACUGAGGUGCGAAAGCGUGGGGAGCAAACAGGAUUAGAUACCCCCGUAGUCCCUGAGCGGGCUGGCAAGGCGCAU